rnacentral:lncRNA from 1 species
CUACUUGUACCACCACCUAGUUGUAUCUCCUCCUACUUGUAUCACCUAGUUGUACUACAACCCUAGUUGUACUACAACGUAGAUGUACCAGAAUAUUCCCGAAUAUUCCCUAGUUGUACCAGUUACAACCCGUAUAAAAGGAUUCGAACCCUGGGGGCGCGCGCGUGCGCAUGGAGCUCGCAACCACUGAGCUAUUGUGUUUUUCGUUGAACACUUACCGAUUUAAUUGUAUUUAACCCUUAUCACCCGAAAUCAACCCUCAUUAAGGGUAAUUUUGUCUUUCUACCAUUAAGGAGUAUUUGAGACUAAAUUUUGAAUCUGAGGAGUAUCUGAGAAUUUGAUCG